AACGAACGCUGGCGGCAUGCCUAACACAUGCAAGUCGAACGAGCCCUUCGGGUCUAGUGGCGCCCGGGUGCGUAACGCGUGGGAACCUGCCCUUAGGUUCGGACUAACUCCCCGACAGGGGUGCUAAUACCGGAUCAUGUCUUCGGCCCAAUGAUUUAUCGCCUUUGGAUGGGCCCGCGUUGGAUUAGCUUGUUGGUAGGGUAAAAGCCUACCAAGGCGACGAUCCAUAGCUGGUCUGAGAGGAUGAUCAGCCACACUGGGACUGAGACACGGCCCAGACUCCUACGGGAGGCAGCAGUGGGGAAUAUUGGACAAUGGGCGAAAGCCUGAUCCAGCAAUGCCGCGUGAGUGAUGAAGGCCGUAGGGUUGUAAAGCGCUAUUACCCGGGAUGAUAAUGACAGUACCGGGAGAAUAAGCUCCGGCUAACUCCGUG
rnacentral:rRNA from 1 species